GGCUCCAUAGCUCAGCCUGGUUAGAGCACCGGCCUUUUAAGCCGGGUGUCGGGGGUUCAAAUCCCCCUGGGGCCA
rnacentral:tRNA from 1 species